AUGGCAGGCUGAUGUGAAUUCAGACAACAAAGUGGACUGCAACAUCAUAGGGAGUAUUUAUACAACGACCUCAAUAUGCCCUACUAGAAGACAGGACCUUUGCCAAGAGAUAAAGAGAAACAAACCCACCUCUUGUGAAAUCCGUGUAAUGAGGGGAUUCUUUGCCUGUGUUAAUGCUACAUCUGACUCCUGCUUCAUGUAUCCGUUCAAACCCUCUUCUCAUCAUGUGGAGUCCUUCAUUGUUGCUCAGGCAGAACCAGACAUUGGGUCUGGACCUGUAAUGGAAAACUCAGUGCUUGUGUCUGGAGGAGAAUCAAUUAAUCUGACGUGCGCUUUUAAAAUAAACAGGAGUUACUAUUUUAAUCCUUUUGUGGUGUACUGGAUCAAGACUGGUGCUCAGAGCAGCACAUGUGUUUAUUCCUUUCAUUACGCUACACAUGAUGAUCAUGGUUUUGAUGACCACUGUGCCAUUGACAGAGAUCUUCUGUUAAGGAGAUCAAACACAUCAAGACCCUCCCUUGGUGACAACAACCAUAACCUGAAGAUCAGCAAAGCCACUCAUUCAGACCGUGGACAGUAUCUGUGUGUCUUAAUGGUGAACAGUAAUUACCAGCAGUACUGGGCAGUAAUAACCAACACUACAGUCAUUGUAGAUAAUCCUGAAUCGAUAAAAGAAUCGAUAAGGAAUCGAAUCGAUAAGCAGGAAUCGAUAAGGCAUCGGAAUCGUUAAAAUCUUAUCAAUUCUCAUCCCUAAUGACCAAUGACCCUUCAUGAUGAGCAGUACUGGACAAUAUUAACCAACAAUACUACAGUCACUGUGGAAAAUCAAGCUUUGGUCAAACCUGAUGAAGUGACAGCUGGAAAAGAUCAUGGUAGGUGCAUGAUUGAAUAUUUUGACUUGUAUUUAGUUACUGUGAGUCUGGGAGUGACUGGGAUGAAACUGGGAGUUCUAAAGUCCUCACUUGGCAUGAAAUAACU
ensembl:lncRNA